GAUGAACGCUGGCGGCGUGCCUAACACAUGCAAGUCGAGCGAUUUACUUCGGUAAAGAGCGGCGGACGGGUGAGUAACGCGUGGGUAACCUGCCCUAUACACACGGAUAACAUACCGCAAGGUAUGCUAAUACGAGAUAAUAUAAGAGAUUCACAUGGAUUUCUUAUCAAAGCUGAGGCGGUAUAGGAUGGACCCGCGUCUGAUUAGCUAGUUGGUAAGGUAACGGCAUACCAAGGCGACGAUCAGUAGCCGACCUGAGAGGGUGAUCGGCCACAUUGGAACUGAGACACGGUCCAAACUCCUACGGGAGGCAGCAGUGGGGAAUAUUGCACAAUGGGCGAAAGCCUGAUGCAGCAACGCCGCGUGAGUGAUGAAGGCCUUCGGGUCGUAAAACUCUGUCCUCAAGGAAGAUAAUGACGGUACUUGAGGAGGAAGCCCCGGCUAACUACGUGCCAGCAGCCGCCGUAACAC
rnacentral:rRNA from 1 species